rnacentral:rRNA from 1 species
UUGACACAGGGAGGUAGUGACAAGAAAUAACGAUACAGGGCUACAUCUAGUCUUGUAAUUGGAAUGAGUACAAUUUACAUCUCUUAACGAUGAUCAAUUGGAGGGCAAGUCUGGUGCCAGCAGCCGCGGUAAUUCCAGCUCCAAUAGCGUAUAUUAAAGUUGUUGCAGUUAGAACGCUCGUAGUCGGAUUUCGGGGCAGUCCGACCGGUCUGCCGAUGGGUAUGCACUGGCCGGAGUGUCCUUUUUGCCGGAGACCGUGCCUACUCUUAACUGAGCGGGGGCGAGAGACGGCACUUUUACUUUGAAAAAAUCAGAGUGUUUCAAGCAGGCAGCUCGCUCUUGCAUGGAUUAGCAUGGGAUAAUGAAAUAGGACUUUGGUGCUAUUUUGUUGGUUUCGAACACCGAAGUAAUGAUGAGAAGGGACAGUCAGGGGCACUCGUAUUCCGCAGAGAGAGGUGAAAUUCUCAGACCCGCGGAAGACGAACCACUGCGAAAGCAUUUGCCAGGGAUGUUUUCACUGAUCAAGAACGAAAGUUAGGGGAUCGAAGAUGAUCAGAUACCGUCGUAGUCUUAACCAUAAACCAUGCCGACUAGGGAUUGGAGGAUGUUCACUGAUUGACUCCUUCAGCACCUUACGGGAAACUAAAGUCUUUGGGUUCCGGGGGGAGUAUGGUCGCAAGGCCGAAACUUAAAGGAAUUGACGGAAGGGCACCACCAGGUGUGGAGCCUG